AUGGAACUGCCAGGGGGGAACCGCUGGACAGUUCGUGAGGUUUUGGCCCUCUCAAAAGCCAAUUCCCCGGGGCUGAUUUUCUUAUCAGAAACUCGUCAAGCCUCUAGUCAAAUGGAAAAACUUAGAAGGAGAUUGAAUAUGAAGGGUUUUGCGGGUGUAUCCAGUGUUGGCCUGAGUGGAGGGCUGGCUCUGUUUUGGGACGAUAACCUACAU
rnacentral:rRNA from 1 species